rnacentral:lncRNA from 1 species
UAUGGCUCCCAGUGAUGGGAAAUGUAGUCCCAGUCAGUCAGUGCGGAUUGUUACUCCAGGUGCUGUGGCUCCCAGUGAUGGGAAAUGUAGUCCCAGUCAGUCAGUGCGGAUUGUUACUCCAGGUGCUGUGGCUCCCAGUGAUGGGAAAUGUAGCCCCAGACAGUGCGGAUUGUUACUCCGUGCGCUAUGGCUCCCAGUGAUGGGAAAUGUAGUCCCAGACAGUCAGUGCGGAUUGUUACUCCGUGCGCUAUGGCUCCCAGUGAUGGGAAAUGUAGUCCCAGUCAGUCAGUGCGGAUUGAUACUCCAUGUGCUAUGGCUCCCAGUGAUGGGAAAUGUAGUCCCAGACAGUCAGUGCGGAUUGUUACUCCGUGCGCUAUGGCUCCCAGUGAUGGGAAAUGUAGUCCCAGA